rnacentral:rRNA from 1 species
AGCAGCCGCGGUAAUUCCAGCUCCAAUAGCGUAUAUUAAAGUUGUUGCAGUUAAAAAGCUCGUAGUUGAAUUUCGGGACCAAUCUGCCGGUCGUGCCUCCGGUAUGCACUGGUUUUAUUGAUUUCUCCCUUCUGACGAAUCAUGAUGUCAUUAAUUUGGUGUCAUGGGGAAUCAGGACUGUUACUUUGAAAAAAUUAGAGUGUUUAAAGCAGGCUCACGCUUGAAUACAUUAGCAUGGAAUAAUGAAAUAGGACGUUUGACCCUAUUUUGUUGGUUUCUAGGAUCGACGUAAUGAUUAAUAGGGAUAGUUGGGGGGCAUUAGUAUUCAAUUGUCAGAGGUGAAAUUCUUGGAUUUAUUGAAGACUAACUACUGCGAAAGCAUUUGCCAAGGAUGUUUUCAUUAAUCAAGAACGAAAGUUAGGGGAUCGAAGACGAUCAGAUACCGUCGUAGUCUUAACCAUAAACUAUGCCGACUAGGGAUCGGAUGAUGUUAUUUUUUAAUGACUCAUUCGGCACCUUA